UGAAGGUUAGCGGCGGACGGGUGAGUAACACGUAGGCAACCUGCCCUCAAGACUGGGAUAACUACCGGAAACGGUAGCUAAUACCGGAUAAUUUAUUUCGCAGCAUUGUGGAAUAAUGAAAGACGGAGCAAUCUGUCACUUGGGGAUGGGCCUGCGGCGCAUUAGCUAGUUGGUGGGGUAACGGCUCACCAAGGCGACGAUGCGUAGCCGACCUGAGAGGGUGAACGGCCACACUGGGACUGAGACACGGCCCAGACUCCUACGGGAGGCAGCAGUAGGGAAUCUUCCGCAAUGGGCGAAAGCCUGACGGAGCAACGCCGCGUGAGUGAUGAAGGUUUUCGGAUCGUAAAGCUCUGUUGCCAAGGAAGAACGUCUUCUAGAGUAACUGCUAGGAGAGUGACGGUACUUGAGAAGAAAGCCCCGGCUAACUACGUGCCAGCAGCCGCGGUAAUACGUAGGGGGCAAGCGUUGUCCGGAAUUAUUGGGCGUAAAGCGCGCGCAGGCGGUUCUUUAAGUCUGGUGUUUAAACCCGAGGCUCAACUUCGGGUCGCACUGGAAACUGGGGGACUUG
rnacentral:rRNA from 1 species